rfam:Heligmosomoides polygyrus genome assembly, scaffold: HPBE_scaffold0003651
GCACCGGUGGUGUAAAGCGUAGCAUUGGUGCCCGGAAAGCAGAAGUUGCGGGUUCGAGUCCCGCUUGGCGCA